GACGAACGCUGGCGGCGUGCUUAACACAUGCAAGUCGAACGGAAAGGCCCUGCUUUUGUGGGGUGCUCUAGUUGCGAACGGGUGAGUAACACGUGAGUAACCUGCCCUUGACUUUGGGAUAACUUCAGGAAACUUGGGCUAAUACCGGAUAGGAGCUCCUGCUUCAUGGUGGGGGUUGGAAAGUUUCGGCGGUUGGGGAUGGACUCGCGGCUUAUCAGCUUGUUGGUGGGGUAGUGGCUUACCAAGGCUUUGACGGGUAGCCGGCCUGAGAGGGUGACCGGCCACAUUGGGACUGAGAUACGGCCCAGACUACUACGGGAGGCAGCAGUGGGGAAUAUUGCACAAUGGGCGGAAGCAUGAUGCAGCAACGCAGCGUGCGGGAUGACGGCCUUCGGGUUGUAAACCGCUUUCGCCUGUGACGAAGCGUGAGUGACGGUAAUGGGUAAAGAAGCACCGGCUAACUACGUG
rnacentral:rRNA from 1 species